AAGCGAAGAUGCAUCAGUUUCAAUGGUGAGCGCAUGUCCACCAGUCUACAAAAAUAGGGCCCGUUGUUUUUUCUAGUUUCAUCUUUAGUACAUGACAUUUAAAACAAACAAAUGUAAAACAAACAAAAAACAGAAAACUGACAAUGUCAUUAUUUUUUCCAGUUGAGAUCGGAUGACUCAGGAUGGAUAAUUAUACCAGGUCUGAACAGGCCAUUGUUUGAACUACGACUGAAGUGACACUGGAUUAUUGUUUAAUAUUUGUCCUUUAUGUGGGAUUUUUGUAUUUGUACGACCAUUGAGCAAAGAGCAAUAUGCUCGAAAAUCAAGGAUGUGUAGUUUUAGAGGUCAUCACACCCAAAGUGGCAUUUCCUUGUUCCAACCAAUGUAUCAUUAUGGUUACUUUUUACAUGGUAUGGCGUGAAAAUAUGAGAAGACUUGCAUAGGCACAUACUUGUUUGCACCAACCAGGUGUAACGUUAUGACCAUUUUAAAUAUAUGAUUCACUAUUGGGGCAAUACCAAAUAUUUACAAUGAUCAUAUGCUCAGUUCACGAGAAUAAUUUUGAAACGAAUACCCGACAUAGGGCGGUGUCUAUAUCAAAGCUGAGCAUCAUUAACUUGUUGUUAAGGCAGAAUAUUUAAGACAGCUCUUUGUAAUAUGGAUACGUGUCAUUUGUCACUGGUCAUAAUGCUGUGGCUCGUUGGAAUGACAUGGCCGCCUCAACAUUUCCACUUUAUUCAAUGUCACUUGGUUUGUUUAUCGUGUGUUACGCUCAAUGAGAAUUGUCGGAUGCAAAGUACAGGUUCUCCCUCCACUCAUUUUUUUUUAUGUUCAAAUAUGCCACAACCAACAGAAAGGGUGUUUUGACUUUGUCAAACUAAAAAAAAACAAACAAAAAAACUGUGUGACUGACAUAGACAGCUGUAUAAUGUCUGAAAAAUCACUUGUGCUUGACUUAAACCUCAAAAUGAUCCCUCAGAACACAUUUAGCUGGUUUUCAUCAUCUAAUGUGUCUUAAUACAGGAAUUUGUGAAAUUAGUGAAGGAGGGUUUUUGAUACACACACACGCCGACUUGACAUACUGAUGUGUAAAGAACUGCUGUAACAUGACUCCGGGGGGCAGCCUUAUGUGGUCAUCAAUAAUGUGUGUAAAUAUGAUGUGAACAUUUUGUGUUUUGGGUGUUUUUUUGUCAUAUGCCGCAAUUCCUGUGUUUUCUGAUUUUUGUAACAUUCAAAGGGGAUGGUAUUUAAUUGAAAGACUCAUCACAGAAAUUUAACGUCAUCACAUCUCACUGCCACUUUCCUUCAUGAGAAAGAACACAUUAGAGUGUAUUGAUUUUCUUCAGAAACUGUUUUCUGGAGGUAUACAGAUAGGAAGUUAGUGUUAGCAUACUGUACCACAGUCCUGGCUUGGUUUACUAAUACUUAGAUGCAACUCAGUCUGGAGUAGUUUAUUUAUUGCUGACCAAAAGUACAUACUGAAAA